UCCAACUCGGAUCCCUAAACCAAAGCCUAUGAGUGCAACUAAACUACCUGUGAAAAUUCCUGCUGGACAUCUCAACAAGUCACUCCAAGAGAGAAGCUGUGGAAAGCUACACAUUAUAAGGACUGUAUCUAAAACCUGCCUUCAAAGCGGAGGGAGAAGCUAAGAGUUUAACUCGACCUCAGAGACAGUACAACACAUUAGCACGUCUGUGUGACAGUUUUUGCAAACCCACAACAGAGACCUGUGCCUUCCUUAACAGCUACACAAGAAAUUCUGUCAGUACUCAAAAAAGAGAAUGCUUAAAAAUAUAGGCCUACUGAAAAAAAUAUUUCAGCAUCUGCCCUACAUGAYGUAUUUGUGACAAACUGUAGAAAUGAAAGAAGUAUGCUGCUGU